UACGUAGGGGGCAAGCGUUAUCCGGAUUUACUGGGUGUAAAGGGAGCGUAGACGGAAUGGCAAGUCUGAUGUGAAAGGCGGGGGCUCAACCCCUGGACUGCAUUGGAAACUGCCAGUCUUGAGUACCGGAGGGGUAAGCGGAAUUCCUAGUGUAGCGGUGAAAUGCGUAGAUAUUAGGAGGAACACCAGUGGCGAAGGCGGCUUACUGGACGACCACUGACGCUGAGGCUCGAAAGCGUGGGGAGCAAACAGG
rnacentral:rRNA from 1 species